UCCAUACUUUCGAUUUUUAUAUAUUCAUUUAAACAAUACAUGAUGUACAUACAAUACAAUAAACUAAUAUUUAAACAAUUAUACAUUCGCUUAAAAAUUACAUACAUAGUUUGGAAGGUGCAUUAAAUAUAAAAUAAUUUUAUUUUAACAUUUUAAUACUUCUACAUUUUGUGAUUGUUAGCUAAGCGUAAUGUCAACAAAUUCGAACUAUUGAGUGACUUCGAUGAUUCGCGCCUUAGUUUUCUUUCACACUCCGACGAGUAAGCAUCGAAGCUCUAUCUUUCUAAGCGUGUAAACUUAAAAAGUAAUAUUUUCGAAAAUUGUAUAAUUAUUUAAAUAAUAAUUUUUUUCGUUGCUCGUUUAAUGUAAACAACAAAGAACAUUAGAUUGACCGAGUUAAUUAUUACGUUAGUUUUCUUUCGUAGUUCAAGGAUUACAAAUCGAAAUACUCUCUUUCUAUACAACUUCAUUUAGUCAUCUUAUAGAUCCGACGAUUUUUUCGUUGCUCGUUUGUGUAAACAACAAAGAACAUUAGAUUGACCGAGUUAAUUAUUACGUUAGUUUUCUUUCGUAGUUCAAGGAUUACAAAUCGAAAUACUCUCUUUCUAUACAACUUCAUUUAGUCAUCUUAUAGAUCCGACGAUUUUAUAAUUAUAUAAACAAGGUACAAUAUACACGAAAUACGAUAACGUAAUAUUUAGCCUUUGUCGUUCGUCUACUGUAAACAAAAAGAAACAUUAGAUUAACCUCGCGAGUUAUCACGUUAGUUUUCUUUCGUACUCCGAGGAGUAAAGAUCGAAAUACUUUCUUUCCGUACAACUACAUUCAAUCACCUUAUAGAUUCGAUAAUUUUAUAAUUAUUUAAACAAUAUACGAAAUACUCGGAGUAUGAGAGGAUAAUAUUUAAACAAUAAUACCGCAUAGUUCUUAAGAGACGUUAUACGUAAUAUAACUUUCUUUCAGCCUUCAUCGCUCAACUAAUUUCGACAAGAAGGAAUAUUAGAUUAACCUUUGCGAAUUUUCACGUUAGUUUUUUUUCGUACUUCAAGAAUUACAGAUCGAAAUACUCUCUUUUCAUACAACUUCAUUUAGUCAUCUUAUAAAUCCGACGAUUUUAUAAUUAUAUAAACAAGGUACAAUAUACACGAAAUACGAUAACGUAAUAUUUAGGUAAUAGUAUAUUUCGGUAAAGACCAUAUAGCUCUUAAGACCCGUUGUAUAUAUAAUAAAUUUCUUUCAGCCUUUGUCGUUCGUCUACUGUAAACAAAAAGAAACAUUAGAUUAACCUCGCGAGUUAUCACGUUAGUUUUCUUUCGUACUCCGAGGAGUAAAGAUCGAAAUACUUUCUUUCCGUACAACUACAUUUAAUCAUCUUAUAGCCUUCAUCGCUUGACUAAUUUCGACAAGAAGGAACAUUAGAUUAAUCGUUGAGAAUUUUCACAUUAGUUUUUUUUCGUACUUCAAGGAUUAGAGAUCGAAAUACUCUCUUUCCAUACAACUUCAUUUAGUCAUCUUAUAGAUCCGACGUUUUUAUAAUUAUAUAAACAAGGUACAAUAUACACGAAAUGCGAUAACGUAAUAUUUAGGUAAUAGUAUAUUUUAUUAAAGGCCAUAUAGUUCUUAAGACGCGUUGUAUAUAUAAUAAAUUUCUUUCAGUCUUUGUCGCUCGUUAAUGUCAACAAAAAUAUCAUUGGAUUAACCUAUCGAGUUACCACAUUAGUUUUUUUUCCUACUUUGACGACUAAAGAUCAGCAUACUCUCUUUCCGUACGAUUAUAUUUGAUCAUUUUAUAGAUUCAAUAUUUUUUUUUUAGCAGUUUUACUAUAAUUUAUGUUAUAUUUUAUCGCAAGCAAGAUUUAUUAAUAUCUAAUAUCUAAUAUCUAUUUGUACAAAUAGGUAAUAAGAAACAAGAAAUAUAAAAAGUUCAUACAAUUCACAAACAUUCUUCCAUUCAUCUAUCUUUGUAGAAGUAUAAUCUAGCGUAUAAUUUCUUUUUACUUUUGUUAAGAAUUCGAAAAAAUUAUCUCCUUGUUUAUUAAAUUGAAUUAAAUUUCCGAUUUUAAAAUGAGAUCUCGUUCAUCAAAAUUGGUCAAGAAUUACGUCUGGAUUCACUUUUGGUGUAAACCAUUAUAACCUAGAAAAGUAUUAACAAUCUUAAUUUUGUCAAAUUUGUUUCAUAAUUUAUUUUGAAUAACAUUAGUUGAUCAAUAAAAUAUAAAUAUUAGUGGUUAAUAAGUACUAAUUUCUUUCUUUUUCCAAAUUUUUACAAAUAGCAAGUUAAUUGUUGUAUAGGAUAUGCAUUUAUAAUACAACAAGAUACAGAUAUAUAAUAUUGUAAUACUUAAUAUAUACACAUAUACAGUUAUAAAUGAAAACAAAUUGAUAUUUUCAACUUGAAACUUUAUAUGACUUAAAUACAAAAUUUUUACAUCGUUUAUUUAUAAAUUAUGUAUCGAUUAAUUGUAUAUGACUUUUUAUGUUACAUUAAGUUCCAUGUGAAAUUACUCAUGUACAUAAAGAGGUUGUAAUAAAAUAUAUUAAAUAAUAUUACAAAUGCAUUAAUAAAUAUUAACUGAAUUAUAUAACAAUUACUGCAUAAAUAUUUCGAAAUAUUGCAAAAUAAUAUACAAUUUGGCACGAGAAUCGCUUCAAAUAUAUUGUACAAUAAAUCAUGGUUUCUGUGAUAAUAAAUUAAAAUCUAUAUCAUAAAAAAAUGCUAUACUUUUAGAAUCAUUUCCAUUGUAAUGUUAAUGUUACUAAUGGUAAAAGUUUUAUUAUUAUUCUAAAAAUAUGAAUAAUCCUUUCAGCUUAUGUAUCCUCAAAAAUAUUUGAAAGCUAUUGCAUGUAAUAUUCUUUGGAUUAUUUGAUAAUGUUUUCAUAAGGAUUAUUAUUGCAAUAAACUUUAAAGAACUAUUAAGAAUGCUAAUAUCAUCUUACAUAUAUGAAAUAUAUAAUCAAUACUUAAAAAAAAGAUUAUAAACAUAUGAUAUACAAAAUAUAUAUUUCUUUCAUAAGGAAUCGCUUGUUUAGACUGUAAUAACUUCUUUUAAGUAAUACUAACUGAUCAAACUAAGAUGAUAUAAUAACAAUAAUGUAUUGUUGGAGUAUUCCAAAAAAUGGAGUUUAAAGUCUUAGUUAAAAGAAAAAAAAUUAUGGUAUAUUAUCAUGUAAUAUUAUUCCAAAGUUAAAUAGAAAAAUAAAUAAUAACAAUGUUAAAUCAGAUGGUAGAACUAAUUUAUACA